GUAGCUCAGUAGUAUAGAGUGGUCGGUUGUUAAUCGAUUGGUUGUAGGUUCGAAUCCUAUC
rnacentral:tRNA from 1 species